rnacentral:rRNA from 1 species
AUGGAGGAAACUAGACUAGGAGAUCGUAGAGAUGAAUUCAGACGCAUCCAGGUGAAGUUUGCUAACAUCCUCAACAAGGAUGUCAUCGGCCAUGCCGGUGUGUUGAAUGGCGGCGAACCUAGAGGUCGAUCUGGUGAAGAGGGGCUCCGGGCGCGCCCAAGAAUCAGUGAGCACAUAAGGCAAGGCCAGGUGGCGCAGGUGGCCGAUGGCCGGCAGCGCCCACGGCCCCGGCGGGAGUCUGUUAGCGUGCGUGGCCGUCCGCCGUCGUUCGGGUCGCCCGCCUACAGCCCGACUCUCUCUACGUGUGGCUGGUUGAUUUUGUUCGUUCUUCGUCGUGUUCUUCAUCUGUUUCAUGGUGCUGCUCCGCGUGCGUGUGUGUGGUGGUUCUUUUUCGGCUGCUCGACGGAUUGGAUUCGGCGGCGACCGUACGGGUGCGCCGCAGCGUUGCUGCCACUGACGCCGCUACCUGGAUUCGUUCGCCAGCGUGGAUUUGUCUCGCCGGUGCUUGGAGUCUCAGCCGCCGCCAGCAAGGGAGAAAUAGACAUGGCAUCUGCGGGUCAAUCUUCAGUUGAGAGGCUGGGAAGCACCAAGCAUAUAUCAUUUGGUAACCGUAUUGCUGAAUUGUUGUAUCCCUUGUCGUCAUACCCGUAUCGCGCCCAAGAAUCAGUGAGCACACAAACGAGGAGGAGCGCGCCGCCGACGAGAUCAUCAAGAAUCAGUAUCAUAGGCUCCUCCAUGACCGUUCUGUGCUACUCUGUUAGGUUGGAAGCCCAUUUUGAGAAGGUGCAGAGGAUCUCGGAUACAACCACGCUGCCAUUUGCUAUGCACUACCUACGUUCGCGGAUAAUGGAGGAGCUGGAUAUUUCGCACCUGACCGAGAGGCUGCUGCAAGGGAAGGGAGAGCUGACGCCAGAGGACAAGUACGAGACCUGGGAGAAGAUCAAAAUUCUGAGUAUGGUCAUAGUCCUCAUGGUUGCAUGGAUAAAGUGA